UGAGGAAUAUUGGUCAAUGGGCGGAAGCCUGAACCAGCCAAGUCGCGUGAGGGAAUAAGGCCCUACGGGUCGUAAACCUCUUUUGCCGGGGAGCAAGGGCCGGGACGAGUCCCGGCCCGGAGAGUACCCGGAGAAAAAGCAUCGGCUAACUCCGUGCCAGCAGCCGCGGUAAUACGGAGGAUGCGAGCGUUAUCCGGAUUUAUUGGGUUUAAAGGGUGCGUAGGCGGGCUUUUAAGUCAGCGGUAAAAAUUCGGGGCUCAACCCCGUCCGGCCGUUGAAACUGGGGGCCUUGAGUGGGCGAGA
rnacentral:rRNA from 1 species